rnacentral:rRNA from 1 species
AUGCACUGGACGUCUAUGAAACGUGUACAACUACGUGGGUUUCAAGUACCCCUUCGAAUCGCCAAGUUCGACUACCACGUGUACCACUACCGUUGCAAAAAUCGAUACCAACAAGUCCGAAGACCCCAAGUACCACGACUUGCGAAUCGAGACCGACAAGUCCGAAGACCCCAAGUACCACGACGACCGACGAAUAGUACCACUACCUCCUCUACCGUCGACCCCAUGGACAUCAAGUUCCUCGCCAUGACCUCGAUCAUCUACGGAGUGCGUACGACUACGAAACGUGAACCACUACUUCCACGAUGA